rnacentral:tRNA from 1 species
GGGGAAUUAGCUCAGUUGGGAGAGCAUCGGCUUUGCAAGUCGAGGGUCACGAGUUCGAGUCUCGUAUUCUCCA